GUGAGGAAUAUUGGUCAAUGGGCGGGAGCCUGAACCAGCCAAGUCGCGUGAAGGAAGAAGGAUCUAUGGUUCGUAAACUUCUUUUGCAGGGGAAUAAAGUGCGGGACGUGUCCUGUUUUGUAUGUACCCUGAGAAUAAGGAUCGGCUAACUCCGUGCCAGCAGCCGCGGUAAUACGGAGGAUCCGAGCGUUAUCCGGACUUAUUGGGUUUAAAGGGUGCGUAGGUGGUUUGAUAAGUCAGCGGUGAAAGUUUGCAGCUUAACUGUAAAAAUGCCGUUGAAACUGUCGGACUUGAGUGUAAAUGAGGUAGGCGGAAUGCGUGGUGUAGCGGUGAAAUGCAUAGAUAUCACGCAGAACUCCGAUUGCGAAGGCAGCUUACUAAGCUACAACUGACACUGAAGCACGAAAGCGUGGGGAUCAAACAGGAUUAGAAACCCCGGUAGUCC
rnacentral:rRNA from 1 species